rnacentral:rRNA from 1 species
GACGAACGCUGGCGGCGUGCCUAAUACAUGCAAGUAGAACGCUGAAGGAGGAGCUUGCUUCUCUGGAUGAGUUGCGAACGGGUGAGUAACGCGUAGGUAACCUGCCUGGUAGCGGGGGAUAACUAUUGGAAACGAUAGCUAAUACCGCAUAAGAGUGGAUGUUGCAUGACAUUUGCUUAAAAGGUGCACUUGCAUCACUACCAGAUGGACCUGCGUUGUAUUAGCUAGUUGGUGGGGUAACGGCUCACCAAGGCGACGAUACAUAGCCGACCUGAGAGGGUGAUCGGCCACACUGGGACUGAGACACGGCCCAGACUCCUACGGGAGGCAGCAGUAGGGAAUCUUCGGCAAUGGACGGAAGUCUGACCGAGCAACGCCGCGUGAGUGAAGAAGGUUUUCGGAUCGUAAAGCUCUGUUGUAAGAGGAGAACGAGUGUGAGAGUGGAAAGUUCACACUGUGACGGUAUCUUACCAGAAAGGGACGGCUAACUACGUGCCAGCAGCCGCGGUAAUACGUAGGUCCCGAGCGUUGUCCGGAUUUAUUGGGCGUAAAGCGAGCGCAGGCGGUUAGAUAAGUCUGAAGUUAAAGGCUGUGGCUUAACCAUAGUAGGCUUUGGAAACUGUUUAACUUGAGUGCAAGAGGGGAGAGUGGAAUUCCAUGUGUAGCGGUGAAAUGCGUAGAUAUAUGGAGGAACACCGGUGGCGAAAGCGGCUCUCUGGCUUGUAACUGACGCUGAGGCUCGAAAGCGUGGGGAGCAAACAGG